rnacentral:rRNA from 1 species
CCUACGGGAGGCAGCAGUAGGGAAUCUUCCACAAUGGACGAAAGUCUGAUGGAGCAACGCCGCGUGAGUGAUGAAGGUUUUCGGAUCGUAAAACUCUGUUGUAAGGGAAGAACAAGUACGAGAGGGAAUGCUCGUACCUUGACGGUACCUUGCGAGAAAGCCACGGCUAACUACGUGCCAGCAGCCGCGGUAAUACGUAGGUGGCAAGCGUUGUCCGGAAUUAUUGGGCGUAAAGCGCGCGCAGGCGGCCUUUUAAGUCUGAUGUGAAAGCCCCCGGCUCAACCGGGGAGGGUCAUUGGAAACUGGAAGGCUUGAGUACAGAAGAGAAGAGUGGAAUUCCAUGUGUAGCGGUGAAAUGCGUAGAGAUGUGGAGGAACACCAGUGGCGAAGGCGACUCUUUGGUCUGUAACUGACGCUGAGGCGCGAAAGCGUGGGGAGCAAACAGGAUUAGAUACCCUGGUAGUCCACGCCGUAAACGAUGAGUGCUAGGUGUUGGGGGGGUUUUACCGCCCCGUUCGAGUGUCGUGAGACUACGACAUUAAGUACACUCCGCCGUCGGGGUAGGUACGGCCGGCCGACGGACGUCGAACGUACGAAACGGAAGUUAGUACGGACGUGAGACGUACGACCGACGGACGACGACGAGGGAGGAGGG